rnacentral:lncRNA from 1 species
GAUAUUAUUUAUUCACAAAGAUGUACCAUGAUUGCUGUUUCCCAUAGCGUCAUGUAAGGUCAGUCAUUGUGAACCACGGUACAGUCGCAGCCUCUAAUUGGUAGGGCAAACUGCCCCGUUUCAGCAUAGUCCUCGAAUCAUUCAGCAUAUUACAUGCAUCAAGCAACCUCUUCUGUCUGGGACGCUCAGCAGCCGACCCAAUUGGCAAGUGCCUUGGCAGAGCCCGAGCAGUCCGGCUUUGCUGAAGGUCCUAUCGAUGCCGAGGUCAUGCUAGCGCUGCUGAAGUUGCUAAUAGGUAACAUAUUAUAUGACGCUUUCUGUAGUCCAUCGUAUGUCAGUCGCUUCCGUCGGUACUCCCAAGGCAUCUGCGUUAGGACAUAUGCACAGCUUCAUCGGUUCUGCCUUGCCUGAUCGUCGAUUGCCUUCCCGGGUCCGCAGUGGACAGGCACAUCAGGGAGCGACACCAUAAGGAUGAAUUAGAGCGCGAGAGGCAAAAUGGCGUAAGGCUAAACGGAGUUCAAGACUGCAAGCGGCGUCGGCUCUCGAACGAUGGGCCAAAUGCGCAGUAAUCGGAUCAUCCUAUAUUUGCUACAUAGUAUUUCAUUUCGACGUUUUGGGGCAACGGUGUUCUUGACCCAGACGGCAGCAUCCAUAGAUAUGUCGGCCGUCGAAUUCUCCGUGCGGUGGAAAGUUACAGUAACGACCUUACUGGCCACGCAACGCGCCCAAGUUUUCUAUCCAACUAUUUUAAAGUUGAGCAGAUGACGUUUUAGGGCCCCCAUGUGCGAUCAACGGCUAGCACUCCUACGUGCGAUUUCCUUAUCGCUGUGGUAGGAUUUCUUGUUGUCCAGGCAGAUCCACACCGCAGAGGCUUGCUUGAUAAGGAUGACAAAUUGGUGAGGCUUGUUACCCACGUAGCUAUGUACGGCAGACCCUAAGAACCACAGUGUGUAAUAGAGAUUGACACGCAUGUAAACCCAUAACAGACAUCGCUAUGCAUUCAAAUCAAGUCGAUCGACGCGGCAAGGAUACUCGAGUCGGUUAUGUCGCCGGUCGAUGACCCCUCUGACGGGUGGGCUGUACGGCAGUGGUCACUUUAAGGCACAUAUCCGUACCAUUUGUGGUUUGGCUAUCUGUCGCCCGCUAUUCAUAAGUGUGUGUGGAAGGUUGCCUGCCUUGCAGCCAUGAGUUCGCUUAAUCAUGCAGUAGGUAUUACAGCGAGAGCCCCCCGGAUAGACCGCAAGGGAAUAUGUAACCCAGCAGGGUGGCAGAGGGCCAUCGCGAGCCACAACGGACUGUGCACUGCACUGCAUUGGGAAACCUAAGACAGGAAACGCACAUCAUGAACAGCAAUACUCAAUACUCAAUGAUGAUC